rnacentral:rRNA from 1 species
GACGAACCGUGCGAACGUUGUUCGGAUUCACUGGGCUUAAAGGGCGCGUAGGCGGAAGGUCAAGUCCGAGGUGAAAUCUUUCGGCUCAACCGGAAAAGUGCCUUGGAUACGGAUCUUCUCGAGGGAGGUAGGGGCAUGUGGAACUUCCGGUGGAGCGGUGAAAUGCGUAGAUAUCGGAAGGAACGCCGGUGGCGAAAGCACUCUGCUGGGCCGACACUGACACUGAGAGACGAAAGCUAGGGGAGCGAAUGGG